AAUGAGACUGCCAACGACAAGUUGGAGGAAGUGGGGAUGACGUCAAAUCAUCAUGCCCUUAUGACCUGGGCUACAAACGUACUACAAUGGCCAAUACAAAGAGAUGCGAAGCGGUGACGUGGAGCGAACCUCAGAAAGUUUGGUCUCAGUUCAGAUUGAAGUCUGCAACUCGACUUCAUGAAGGCGGAAUCGCUAGUAAUCGCGGGUCAGCAGACCGCGGUGAAUACGUUCCCGGGUUU
rnacentral:rRNA from 1 species